rnacentral:lncRNA from 1 species
CAAAAUUGUGCAGUGUGCAAUGCUGUUUGUGGGCAUCCUAUGGUGACAAGCGCAUGUGAUUUCUAUCACGAAGCCUGAAGGAAUCUAAUCUAUUAACCUAGCUAGCUAUAUAGAGAGACGCUUCCCAAGACUAUGGAUACAAGAAAACAGCCGUUGCCAACGCACCCCACCUACCCCCACGCACUAAGUCUUAUCCUCCUCCCUUUAUAUUCAGUCCACCCACUCGUUUAUCAUCUGCAUAUGGGUUUCUUUUCUUCUGUGGUAGGUUUUGCUGUUUUCUUGGUUGUUCGUCUUUUAUUCAUGAAUUCUUGCAUAUGAUAUAACUCUCGGGUCCUUUUUGACUUCAGAGCUAGAUUCCUGUUCAUGGAUCUGCAAAUUCUUGGGUUUUUUCUUCUUAAAUGCUUUCUUUCACUUAGAUUAGAUCUGGAUCUUCCAUGUGAAGAUCAUAUCAGAUAAGCGAUUUUCUUGGGGGGUGUGGAUGGUUUUUAGGGUUGACUUGAAUAUAUUUAGAUUAGGGUUUGUUUGUAGAGCUCCUUGAAGUCCAAAAGAGGUUCUUUCGGGGAAAAUUGAGCUGCUAAUCCAUGGAUCCCUCAACCCUAUCCAUAUCUAUAGAUCCAUAUUGGAUAGGUUUGUGGGUUGCAUGUAUCAGGAGCCUGCAUUUCUCAAGUUGGAUCCUUCUUUGGAUUGAAGGGAGCUCUAUACUUAUCCCUAUAUCCAUUUUUGUCUUUAUUUUUUCAUCAGUUCUAUUUUCUUAUAGUUUCUGUUUCUUUUCAGAUCUAAUUAAUGUGAUAAAAAAUCCUAAGUUUGAUCUGUUUAAACGUUUCUCUUACAUAGAAACUGAUCAAUCCCUGACCCUGAUAACUAGAUUGGAUCUUUCUCUAGAUUUACCCUUUUCCGUUUUUGGUUACUGAAGAAAGUCAAAUAUGCAUUUGUUUCCCUCACAUAGUCCCUUGUGUGCAUAUCAGUAUAUAGGUUAAAGCUCACCCCUUAAUGUAUCUGCAGAUUUUGGGUUUUUUCUUGCAACAUUUUUCAGGUGCUGAUAGAUUCUUGCUGAAAACAGAUGAGAAGGAAGCCAGAUUGCUCCUUUUUGGGUUCAAGAAAGGAAAUAUAUCUUAGGGUUUAUUUCAAAGAUCAAACAAUAUAUUUCAUUUUUACAGUUACAUUUUGUUUGGAUUCUUUCCCAUUUGUUAGUCUUCAAUCAAUGGUGUAAUAAAUCCAAGAAAAGCUGUUUUGACAGCAAGUACUGGUAUAUACACAGUAAAUGUAAAUUUUGGUAUAUUGGAAAUUUUGCAACAUUUUUCAGGUGCUGAUAGAUUCUUGCUGAAAACAGAUGAGAAGGAAGCCAGAUUGCUCCUUUUUGGGUUCAAGAAAGGAAAUAUAUCUUAGGGUUUAUUUCAAAGAUCAAACAAUAUAUUUCAUUUUUACAGUUACAUUUUGUUUGGAUUCUUUCCCAUUUGUUAGUCUUCAAUCAAUGGUGUAAUAAAUCCAAGAAAAGCUGUUUUGACAGCAAGUACUGGUAUAUACACAGUAAAUGUAAAUUUUGGUAUAUUGGAAAUUUAUAUAUAUAUAAAUAAAAAUUAUGUCUGAACACAAUAAACGUGGUUUAUGAAUCCUAGUUUUUGGGAAUGGGAAGUGAGAAAAUAUAACAUGCAUUUUGAUUCUUGGAAAUAAAAAAUUGUAACAUUUCA